GCAAGUGGGGACCUGCGGGUGGGAGUGGGAGGAGGCGGGAGAGUGAGCCCAAGAAAAAAAGAAGAUGCAUCUGUUCUGCAAACGCCAAUGAAGAAAGGACAGAGCGGGCAGGAGAGGAGUGGAGGAGAGAACGCCCACCAGGAGGGACUCAGCUUCAUCUCGCUCAACUCUGGCAAAUUACCCUCCAAGUAAAAUGAAUUGGCCUUAUGAAGAAACGGAAGCUGAAUUUCUUCCACGGCGGACUCCUCCUGAGACCUAACUUCUUCAAAUAUUUUCCUUCCCGACAAUCUUUCUGUAUUCUGGAAUUUCAAUUAAGAGUAUGUUAUAUUACUUUAUGUUUCCCACAGAUCACUGAAGUUCUGACCAUCCUUUUGCAAGUUUUGUUUCUUCUUUAUUUUGGAUUGAUUGUAUUAUUAUAUCUUCAAGUUCACUAUCUUCUUCUGUAGCAUCUAAUCUGCUCCUAAUUAUUUUUAAUAAAAUUUAUAUCUUUACUGUGCUAAGUCUCCUAAUCUAUGUACACUAUGUACACUCCUCAGUUAUUUAGGUAUUUGAUUUCUCUCCAUAGCAUUUUAUAAUUUUGAGCAUACAGAUCCUCUAUAUGAUUGGCUACAUAUUUACCUAAUGGCUACAUAUUUACCUAUACUUUACCUAAGUUUAUCUUUUGAGGGGAGCUACUGUAAAUAGUAUUUUUAAAAAUGUGUUUCCUGUUGUUCAUUGCUGCAAAAAAGAAUUAUAAUUGAUUUUUUUAUGUAUUUACCUUGUGUCUUGUAACACUGAAAACUCACUUAUUAGUACUAGAAGUUUUGUCUUGCUUUGUUUUACAGUCCUUAGAAUUCUACAUAUAGACAAUCUUGUUAUUUGUGAAUAGGGAGACUUUUCGUUUUUAUUUUCCAACCCAUAUGCUAUUUAUUUCUUUUUCUUUCCUUUUUGCAUUAGCUGGGACUUUUAUGAGGUUAAAUAGGAGUGGUAAUAGUGGAUACCCUUGUUGUCUUCUGUAAGAAACAAAGCACUAAGUGAUCUUAAAAGAAAAACAUUCAAUGUUCCAUCUUUAAAUAUUUUCUUAGCUUUAAGUAUUUUGUACAUGCCUUUUAUGAGUCUUAGGAAGUAUUUUUGAUUCCUAGUUUCCCAAGAGUGUGACCAUGAAAAGAUGUUGGAUUUUGUCAAAUGAUUUUUCUGCAUUAAUUGAUAUGAUCAUGUGGUUUUCUCAAUAGAGAAUUAUCUUGAUUGAUUUUCCAACAUUGAAUCAUCCUUACAUUCAUAAAACCCAUUUAGCCUAAUGUGAUUCCUCUGGAGAGAAUCUAUGUGUUAUUCUGCCCACUUUUCCAGAAUGCUAUGGCAUCAUUUUCUGUUAAUAUUUCAGCUUGAGAUUUUCUGUGUAAUGUAGUUAGUUUAAUGUUGAAUCACAAACCUCCAUGAGAGUUGGCCUUUAGUUACCAUUUCCCAAGAUAAUUCUUUUUUCACUUAGACCCCAAGCCAAGAUAGGGAAAUUUCCUUCUCUUCUCACUUUCUUGGUGAGUUAGAUGUCACUAGUCCACACUUUUACUGAGGGUAAAACCUAUAAAAAAUUCCACGCUAUACAGAAAACUUAGUUUCAAUUGUCACCUUACCUGGAACCAACAACUUUCUUCAUAGUUAGGUAAAAUGCAAACCUCUUGCUUUAGGGGUUAGAAAAUGCCCUUGGGAGUUUUGGAGCUCUAAGAUAAAUUUAUUCUUCUGGAUUUCAGCUUUUCAUGUGUGUGUGUGUUUAUGUGUGUGUUCUGUUUUGUUUGUCCUCUAGUUUAUUGAGUUCUUAGACAUUUGAUGGUUUCAUCUUAUUUUAUUUUUUUAAUGGGGGAGGUUUUCAGAAUAUUUAAUAAAAUAGACAAAAAUGGGAGUCUAUAUUACUUUCAAGUUCAUUAUAAAAAAUUCAUGUGUUUGUCAUUCAUGUUUGGGGUUCCAUUAAUUAUUGUGUUAUUGCCAUCUAGCUUAUUGUUUCUCUUUUUAGUUUUGUGCUUUUGGAUUUUCUUUAAUAAAGCGUUCAUGGAAACUUGCAAAUAUGUGUGGUAAAAGUAGGUUCCUGCAGCAGUACCAGGAUAGAAUGGCAAUUUGAUAUCAUGCUUUACCAGAAUAGAGGCAAUACAAGGUCACAUCCAAUAUGGGUGGCUCUUGUCUUAGAGAGUCGGUUAUUAAAGCAAACAAAACAAAAACAAAAAUUUAAAACAAAAUAAUAAAAAGCUCCAAACAAAAUAAUAUGGUGAAGAGUUUAGGAGAAAUCAUAAGAGAUUCCUGAAACCCCAUGAUGCUUCUUUUGGGUCCAGAAAUGCUUACUGGAACCUGGCGACUCUCAUGAAUCUGACCUUUCUCUAUCUCUUCAUCUCUCUAAUAUAUACUUGUUUUCUAUUUCAUGUCAUUUCCUCAGGGUUCUGCUGUGUGUUAAUGAGUUUUAAUAAGAUGGAAAAAUACAUGCUAUUAUGUUGGGUAGCAAAUGAUUUACCCGGGAAAUAUAAUGCCUUAACCUAAUUAAAAUGCAUGUCUCCACAGAGCCUUCAAGGAGUGAUGUUAAUGGUGGAAAUUUCAGACAUUGUGUCAGCCUCAUGGGGAUCUAUUUUUCAUUGGGAGAGAAUUUGGCAUCUUUCAAAUUCUGCUGUCACUGAAUGGAAGAUCGAGUUAUGCUUCCAUUCCAUAGCCUAAACACUCAGUUGAUGUAUAAGAUAACAUUUUUGCAAAAGUAAAGAAAAUUUAUCAUACACAAUGAAAUUUAAUUUUUUUUAAUUUGGGAAAAUACUGAAGAUAGUAUGCACUAAAUGAGAGUGAGAAUAAAAUAGUUAAAUACAAAACUCUGAGUAGAGACAUUUUUAUUAAAACUUCAUUUAAUAU